UUAAUUUCGAUUCUCGAUCUUCACUACGAUAUAGACUUCAUGUUUGCAAUUCUGUGAAUCCCCUGUCUUUUGUUUAAUAAAAUUCGUCACAAUGUGAAUGACGCAUUCCCGAGUGAGACUGAUGUCAUCAGUAGUUUGUACUUUAUCGGCAUUUCUUUAAGUUUAAAAAUGUCUUGAAAUUUAAUAUAAAACAUUCUUCAUUACGCAGAGUGAACGUCCAUCCCAAUAUCUAUAUCCAGUGCAAUUAUUUUUAAAUAUAUUUCUAUCAUGUCGCAACAAAAAAAAAAA